ACUUUAACAUGGAGGCACUUGCU
rnacentral:ncRNA from 2 species